rnacentral:tRNA from 1 species
AUUCAAUUAGUUUAAUAAAAAUAACAAAUUGUGAUUUUGUAGAUAAUUUUUUUAUUGAAUA